GACUAUAUAAGUUAAGCAGACUAUUACCUUGAAAAGGUACCAGCAAACCGUAGUGUUUUAUGGUCG
rnacentral:tRNA from 1 species